rnacentral:rRNA from 1 species
GUUUGAUCCUGGCUCAGAACGAACGUUAGCGGCGCGCCUAACACAUGCAAGUCGAGCGAGAAAGGGGCAACCCCGGUAAAGCGGCGCACGGGUGAGUAACACGUAGGUAAUCUACCCUCGGGUGGAGGAUAACUUUCCGAAAGGAAGGCUAAUACUGCAUGAGACCACGAUUCCGGAAGGGAUUGAGGUCAAAGCCGGCCACUGUACACAAGCUGGCGCCUGAGGAUGAGCCUGCGGCCCAUCAGCUAGUUGGUAGGGUAAUGGCCUACCAAGGCGAAGACGGGUAGCUGGUCUGAGAGGAUGAUCAGCCACACUGGAACUGAGACACGGUCCAGACUCCUACGGGAGGCAGCAGUGGGGAAUCUUGCGCAAUGGGCGAAAGCCUGACGCAGCGACGCCGCGUGAGUGAUGAAGGCCUCGGUUGU